UACGUAGGGUGCAAGCGUUGUCCGGAAUUAUUGGGCGUAAAGAGCUCGUAGGCGGUCUGUCGCGUCUGGUGUGAAAAUCCAGGGCUUAACCCUGGACCUGCAUCGGGUACGGGCAGACUAGAGUGCGGUAGGGGAGAUCGGAAUUCCUGGUGUAGCGGUGAAAUGCGCAGAUAUCAGGAGGAACACCGGUGGCGAAGGCGGAUCUCUGGGCCGUAACUGACGCUGAGGAGCGAAAGCAUGGGGAGCGAAUGGG
rnacentral:rRNA from 1 species